GGCCGGGUGGUCUAAUUGGUAAAGAGACUUGCUGGAUAAGACUAUAUGCCCAGUAUAUCUGGCACUACGGGAUGAGGCAGGUGAUCUGGGUUCGAGUCCCAGCUUGGCCA